ensembl:snoRNA U3 Small nucleolar RNA U3
AAGCAAAUACUUCAGGCAAACACCCUGUGUUCAGUCUCGCAAAUCACGAUGAUGAGCGUGAAUCAGGCAGAGUGUGAGGUAUCUAUCUCCCGCUUUGUCAUUGAUGACCGUUCCUCUUUUUUCUUUGGAGAACAGGGGGAGAGUUGUGAAGUGAU